CAGCCGCCACGGGAAUACGAAGGGUGCAAGCGUUACUCGGAAUUACUGGGCGUAGAGCGUGCGUAGGUGGUGGUUUAAGUCUGCUGUGAAAGCCCUGGGCUCAACCUGGGAAUUGCAGUGGAUACUGGGCAACUAGAGUAAGGUAGAGGAUAGUGGAAUUUCCGGUGUAGCAGUGAAAUGCGUAGAGAUCGGAAGGAACAUCUGUGGCGAAGGCGACUAUCUGGGCCAUUACUGACACUGAGGCACGAAAGCGUGGGGAGCAAACAGGAUUAGAUACCCCAGUAGUCCCUGUCUCUUAUAC
rnacentral:rRNA from 1 species